rnacentral:rRNA from 1 species
GGUCACAGCUAUAUCACCCUGCAGCCCAAGACCGAUUACCCAGCCAAGCAGGGCUGAGCCUGAUCAGUACCUGGAUGGGAGAUCACAUGGGAAAGCUAGGUUGCUGUUGGAA